UUUAUUCUAAAUGCCUGCAGAAGUUGAUUCAGUGAUAAAAAAGUGACAUAAGGAAAUUAAAGAAAUAGGUAUAGAAGAGCUCCCUAGGAGUAUAAUUCUUUCAAUUAUAGGUUGUAAUCUUACAUCAUGUAUACCAUACCAAAAGAGAAAGGAAAAAGAAACAUUUUGUGUAAAGGGGAAANGACAAUAAAGGGAAAUAUCGCGAGUUGUUGUGUGUGGCUGAGGGAGAGUAUGGAGACGAGAGAGAAACAAAUUGGAUAAGUGAGGAAGGUGGAUUAGGGUUAGGCAAGGNUUCUGAUUUUUUUUUAAUUGGGGCACAACAUUAGGGAUGACAGAGAAAAUGUUGGAGUGAGAGAGAUGAAAGAGAAAGGGUUGAGAGGAAUGAGGGAGGUGAGUAAAGGUUUGGGGGUUUCUUUUUUUUUUUAGUUUUGAGAAUGAAAAUUAUUUAAAUAUCCUUCACCUUAAAACUUAUAAUCCAUGAUAUAUGAGAAUAUUUUUGUCUACUAUAAUCCGAUACACAUUGUUAAAACGUACCAAUUGAAAAACAGCUGUUAACAAACCCCAU
rnacentral:lncRNA from 1 species